ensembl:snoRNA SNORD24 Small nucleolar RNA SNORD24
UGCAGAUGAUGUAACAGAAUAUUUGCUAACUGAACAAUCAUGAAUGACAACUUUCCACCAAGAUCGCUGAUGCA